rnacentral:rRNA from 1 species
AGGGUUUGAUCAUGGCUCAGGAUGAACGCUAGCGGCAGGCCUAACACAUGCAAGUCGAACGGUAACAUAAGAGCUUGCUCUUGAUGACGAGUGGCGCACGGGUGAGUAACGCGUAUGCAAUCUACCUAUAACUGAGGGAUAGCCCAGAGAAAUUUGGAUUAAUACCUCAUAAUAAUAUUUUUUGGCAUCAUUAAAUAUUUAAAACUUCGGUGGUUAUAGAUGAGCAUGCGUUCUAUUAGUUUGUUGGUGAGGUAAAAGCUCACCAAGACUACGAUAGAUAGGGGGCCUGAAAGGGUGAUCCCCCACACUGGUACUGAGACACGGACCAGACUCCUACGGGAGGCAGCAGUGAGGAAUAUUGCACAAUGGAGGAAACUCUGAUGCAGCCAUGCCGCGUGCAGGAUGACGGCCCUAUGGGUUGUAAACUGCUUUUUUACAAGAAGAAACCUUGGUACGUGUACCAACUUGACGGUAUUGUAAGAAUAAGCACCGGCUAACUCCGUGCCAGCAGCCGCGGUAAUACGGAGGGUGCAAGCGUUAUCCGGAUUUAUUAGGUUUAAAGGGUUCGCAGGCGGAAUUUUAAGUCAGUGGUGAAAGCCUACAGCUCAACUGUAGAACUGCCAUUGAAACUGAUAUUCUUGAGUAUAGAUGAAGUGGGCGGAAUAUGUCAUGUAGCG